UGUUGAAUGGAAACCACCCUGAACGCGCCCGAUCUCGUCUGAUCUUGGAAGCUAAGCAGGGUCGGGCCUGGUUAGUACUUGGAUGGGAGAAAUGGUGAAAGCAGACAACAA
ensembl:rRNA 5S_rRNA 5S ribosomal RNA